GCCGAAUUAGCUCAGUUGGCCAGAGCACGUGAUUUGUAAUCUCGGGGUCCCCAGUUCGAAUCUGGGAUUCGGCUCAA
rnacentral:tRNA from 1 species